GGGGUCCUUACUUAUUUCGCGGUCUGAAAUUGACUCUACAGUGCGCCUACGGGCUGUCCCUAAUUUUUUUGAAUUUUUUUCGAAAAACUGAAAAGCACUACUGGUACCUGCACGUGACCCAAAAAAUCCCAAAUCAGACCUAGGGCCCCUUUCGGCCAAUAUCGGAAUUUCGGCACGGUGGCUAUGCCGUGCUUCGGCGACGGCGAUUCGCCUCGGUUUGGCCGUUUUCGAUCGAAUUCGGCCACACUCGCAUCGGUCCCUGUGAUAAAACAACCCUAGGGCCCUCGGUGGGCCAAAAAAUUACGAAAAACUGAGACUUACCGGCGGCGAUGCUCUCAGGUGCGGCAGCUCCUUCGGCGUGAGUCGCGUUUUGAUGUUUGGCUCCAAUCAACCUGUAGAGAAAAGAACGGUGAUCACAGUGGUAUAAAAUUUGCAUCGAACGGAGGCCGGGAAGGGCCUCAUCGGAGGCAAAAAUCGAGGAGGGGCGCGGCGGCGCUGCUGGACUUCAGUUGGGUUUUCUGACCGUUUGGUCGGUGGUUUGGCUCCGAUUUGACCAUAGGCGGACUCAGCAUCAAAAAACAAGCAAGGGGGAGAAAAUUUACCUCGAUCGGCGGUCGGAAACUUCCCCGGUGCGGUGGCGGGUGGCGGCGGCCGGCUCCUCCGGCGUCUGGUUCUUCUUCUCCGACGAGGCACUGGCGGCUAGGGUUUUUGUGGUCAGGUGUGGGUGGGGUUAUUUAUACCCUUUGCCUUUUAAUCUCAACUGUCCAUCAAGAUUAAAUCUGGGCCGUUCGAUCGCGAUUUAAUUGGGAUUAAAUCUGGGCCGUCCAUCGCGAUGCAAUCUGGGCCGUCCGUGCGUGCGGGAACGGAUCU
rnacentral:lncRNA from 1 species